rnacentral:misc_RNA from 1 species
UUCUGAAUUGGAAAUUGCUUCAAGACUUCGGUUGGAACAAUUAACUGAUGGUUUCAAUCGGUUUUUACAAGCUGCUUGCUGAAGACCUUUGUUCCGUUUGGAAUGUCUCCUAUUAUCUCCUUCUGUCUCAUCUGUGGGUAAUGGAUAUGUCAAAGGUAGCACUCUGCCUUCUAUUUAUAAGAUUAGUAAUAGUUGCCAAUCAAGGAAUCGGUUAG